rnacentral:rRNA from 1 species
UAGGGAAUCUUCGGCAAUGGACGAAAGUCUGACCGAGCAACGCCGCGUGAGUGAAGAAGGUUUUCGGAUCGGAAAACUCUGUUGUUAGAGAAGAACAAGGACGUUAGUAACUGAACGUCCCCUGACGGUAUCUAACCAGAAAGCCACGGCUAACUACGUGCCAGCAGCCGCGGUAAUACGUAGGUGGCAAGCGUUGUCCGGAUUUAUUGGGCGUAAAGCGAGCGCAGGCGGUUUCUUAAGUCUGAUGUGAAAGCCCCCGGCUCAACCGGGGAGGGUCAUUGGAAACUGGGAUACUUGAGUGCAGAAGAGGAGAGUGGAAUUCCAUGUGUAGCGGUGAACUGCGUAGAUAUAUGGAGGAACACCAGUGGCGAAGGCGGCUCUCUGGUCUGUAACUGACGCUGAGGCUCGAAAGCGUGGGGAGCAAACAGG